UACGGGGGGGGCAAGCGGUUGUUCGGAAUUACUGGGCGUAAAGGGCGCGUAGGCGGUUCGCUAAGUCGAAUGUGAAAACUCUGGGCUCAACCCCAGAGCCUGCAUCCGAAACUGGCGGGCUAGAGUUCUGGAGGGGGUAGCGGAAUUCCUGGUGUAGCGGUGAAAUGCGCAGAGAUCGGGAGGAACACCCGUAGCGAAGGCGGCACUCUGGGCCGGUACUGACGCUGAGGAGCGAAAGCGUGGGGAGCAAACAGG
rnacentral:rRNA from 1 species